rnacentral:lncRNA from 1 species
GGACACCACACAUACAACCAUGACAUAUCCACACGGUUAAUAAAUGAAUUGAAGGUAGUUAUAAAUUUUGUUGUUAAUAUCCUAACGUCUUUUUUCAAAGUUAUACCAUAAGGAUAUUCAAAAAUAGCAAUUCUGCAUUUGAUUAAUCGGAUGAAAAUUGCAAUAUUGAUUUUUAUACCCUUUCGAAAUUUUCACUUUUGAUUUUUAUCCGCAUGAUUUUGUUUCUGAAAAUUGCACCAUUUUCUCAUAAUUCUAUGUUGUAUUUUAGUGAUUAUUUGUAUUCU